AGAGUUUGAUCCUGGCUCAGGACGAACGCCGGCGGCGUGCUUAACACAUGCAAGUCGAACGAAGCUUGAUUACGGAUUCUUCGGAUGAAGUAUGAUAUGACUGAGUGGCGGACGGGUGAGUAACGCGUGAGUAACCUGCCCUUCAGAGGGGGAUAGCGUUUGGAAACGAACGGUAAUACCGCAUAAUGUAUUUUGACCGCAUGAUCGAAAUACCAAAGAUUUAUCGCUGAAGGAUGGACUCGCGUCUGAUUAGGUAGUUGGUGGGGUAACGGCCUACCAAGCCGACGAUCAGUAGCCGGACUGAGAGGUUGAUCGGCCACAUUGGGACUGAGACACGGCCCAGACUCCUACGGGAGGCAGCAGUGGGGAAUAUUGCACAAUGGGCGCAAGCCUGAUGCAGCAACGCCGCGUGAAGGAAGACGGUUUUCGGAUUGUAAACUUCUGUUCUUAGUGAAGAAUAAUGACGGUAGCUAAGGAGCAAGCCACGGCUAACUACGUGCCAGCAGCCGCGGUAAUACGUAGGUGGCAAGCGUUGUCCGGAAUUACUGGGUGUAAAGGGAGCGCAGGCGGGUGAUCAAAUCAGCUGUGAAAACUACGGGCUUAACCCGUAGACUGCAGUUGAAACUGUUCAUCUUGAGUGAAGUAGAGGUUGGCGGAAUUCCGAGUGUAGCGGUGAAAUGCGUAGAUAUUCGGAGGAACACCGGUGGCGAAGGCGGCCAACUGGGCUUUAACUGACGCUGAGGCUCGAAAGUGUGGGGAGCAAACAGGAUUAGAUACCCUGGUAGUCCACACUGUAAACGAUGAUUACUAGGUGUGGGGGGUCUGACCCCUUCCGUGCCGGAGCUAACGCAAUAAGCAAUCCACCUGGGGAGUACGACCGCAAGGUUGAAACUCAAAGGAAUUGACGGGGACCCGCACAAGCAGUGGAUUAUGUGGUUUAAUUCGAAGCAACGCGAAGAACCUUACCAGGUCUUGACAUCGAGUGCAUAACUAAGAGAUUAGUGAAAUCCCUUCGGGGACACUUAGACAGGUGGUGCAUGGUUGUCGUCAGCUCGUGUCGUGAGAUGUUGGGUUAAGUCCCGCAACGAGCGCAACCCUUACCUUUAGUUGCUACGCAAGAGCACUCUAAAGGGACUGCCGUUGACAAAACGGAGGAAGGUGGGGAUGACGUCAAAUCAUCAUGCCCCUUAUGACCUGGGCUACACACGUACUACAAUGGCAAUCAACAAAGAGAAGCAAGACAGUGAUGUGGAGCAAAUCUCAAAAAAUUGUCCCAGUUCAGAUUGUAGGCUGCAACUCGCCUACAUGAAGUCGGAAUUGCUAGUAAUCGCGGAUCAGAAUGCCGCGGUGAAUACGUUCCCGGGCCUUGUACACACCGCCCGUCACACCAUGGGAGUCGGUAACACCCGAAGUCGGUAGUCUAACAGCAAUGAGGACGCCGCCGAAGGUGGGAUUGAUGACUGGGGUGAAGUCGUAACAAGGUA
rnacentral:rRNA from 1 species